AGAGUUUGAUCAUGGCUCAGGAUGAACGCUGGCGGCGUGCCUAACACAUGCAAGUCGAACGGGAAUCUUCGGAUUCUAGUGGCGGACGGGUGAGUAACGCGUAAGAAUCUAACUUCAGGACGGGGACAACAGUUGGAAACGACUGCUAAUACCCGAUAUGCCGCGAGGUGAAACCUAAUUGGCCUGAAGAAGAGCUUGCGUCUGAUUAGCUAGUUGGUGGGGUAAGAGCCUACCAAGGCGACGAUCAGUAGCUGGUCUGAGAGGAUGAGCAGCCACACUGGGACUGAGACACGGCCCAGACUCCUACGGGAGGCAGCAGUGGGGAAUUUUCCGCAAUGGGCGAAAGCCUGACGGAGCAACGCCGCGUGAGGGAGGAAGGUCUUUGGAUUGUAAACCUCUUUUCUCAAGGAAGAAGUUCUGACGGUACUUGAGGAAUCAGCCUCGGCUAACUCCGUGCCAGCAGCCGCGGUAAUACGGGGGAGGCAAGCGUUAUCCGGAAUUAUUGGGCGUAAAGCGUCCGCAGGUGGUCAGCCAAGUCUGCCGUCAAAUCAGGUUGCUUAACGACCUAAAGGCGGUGGAAACUGGCAGACUAGAGAGCAGUAGGGGUAGCAGGAAUUCCCAGUGUAGCGGUGAAAUGCGUAGAGAUUGGGAAGAACAUCGGUGGCGAAAGCGUGCUACUGGGCUGUAUCUGACACUCAGGGACGAAAGCUAGGGGAGCGAAAGGGAUUAGAUACCCCUGUAGUCCUAGCCGUAAACGAUGGAUACUAGGCGUGGCUUGUAUCGACCCGAGCCGUGCCGAAGCUAACGCGUUAAGUAUCCCGCCUGGGGAGUACGCACGCAAGUGUGAACUCAAGGAAUUGACGGGGCCCGCACAGCGUGGAGUAUGUGGUUUAUUCGAUGCAACGCGAGACUUACAGACUGACAUGUCGCGACCCUGUGAAGC
rnacentral:rRNA from 1 species